rnacentral:pre_miRNA from 1 species
CACGGGCGGCAGAGCCUCGCGCUGACUCUGAAGGUUCUGGUAACUCGACUUCAGAUGGCAGAGCUGAGGCUGCGCCGCUCGCU